CCUUAUUCAGCGUCAUCCUUUGGGCCAGAUUGUUCUGAGCACUGUAAACUAAAAAGAAAGAAUCGAUUUCUACUUAAGGGAGAGUGGUUAUUUUCCUCAGCGUUUUCUCCUGUGCUCCCUGCACUCUGAAUCCAGGCUUUAAAAGAGCAUUAUUUUUCAUUAUCCGAAGGGGGAAACUGAGGUUCAAGGAAACGAACAGCUUGUUCCGAAUUACAGACACAACGUGGCUCCAUAGAGGAUUCCGAGACAGAAAGCAGCAGGGGAGAAAGGCAGAGAAAGCCCCCCUCUGGUCCCUACCCUGGAGGCGUCGGGCCUCCCCACAGCCCAGCGAAUUGAGAGCGCCUGGGAGAAUAGAUUGCAUGGGGCAAGGGACGAUGCGAGGAGACUUGUUGAAAGGUUACUGCACUAGCCCAUGAGAGAGAUGAGCGCUUGGAACAGGGUGACCACCAUGGACAUGGAUUUCCAGCCCCGAGAAUGGAAAGUCUGGUCUGCUCCCUGAGAUCAGGCCCUCCUGUGGGACACGGAUGCACUUCCUUUGGACUACAAAGAUGGCUUCUGGAUUCAUCUUUCCUUGCAGUCCAACUUCUCAUCCCGGGGUGCUCAUCUUGGAGACUAGGGCCAUCAUCUGAGCGGUUACGUGGGGCGGGGAAUAUGGAAGGCAUUCUGGAUCCCUCCGCCUGUCAGCUUCUCAGUCAACAAAGAACCGUUGGGCAUCUUCAGUGGAAGUCCCAGGCCCUGUUCAUGGUGUUGAAGAACAGAAAGUCCAGUAUAAAUCCCCGCCCCCCACCCCCAAAGGACAGAGCAAAAAGUCCCAGUUUCCCUGGGGCCUUCUUCUAAGCAUGUGUUACUGCUCAGAUCAUCCCCUCCUUCCCACUGUCACCCUCCUUGCUCCUUCUCUGCUACCUGGGAUCCACUGCUUCGUAGCGAGUGUGAUCUUACAAACCCAGGUCUGUUUUUGUGGGCAUUUUGCCAAAACCUCAAAUUAAGACUCUUUUAAAAAUGUGGAGUGCAAAAAUAAAGAUGCCAUCUGUAUCAUCACUAUUGGACAGCUUGUUUUAAAAUGCACUGAAGCAACAUGUUAUUCAUAGGUGUGUGAAGACGGUAACAAUAUAAAACCAGGGCCUGAAAGAGCCACCCCCAAGUCAUGACGGCAGUGCCUCUUGCAGGGAGGGGAAGAGUCCUAGGGAGGAGGA